UACGUAGGGUGCAAGCGUUGUCCGGAAUUAUUGGGCGUAAAGAGCUCGUAGGCGGUUUGUCGCGUCUGCUGUGAAAACCCGAGGCUCAACCUCGGGCCUGAAGUGGGUACGGGCAGACUAGAGUGCGGUAGGGGAGAUUGGAAUUCCUGGUGUAGCGGUGGAAUGCGCAGAUAUCAGGAGGAACACCAAUGGCGAAGGCAGAUCUCUGGGCCGUAACUGACGCUGAGGAGCGAAAGCAUGGGGAGCGAACAGG
rnacentral:rRNA from 1 species